UCCUCAGUAGCUCAGCUGGUUAGAGCACCUGACUGUUAAUCAGGGGGUCGCUGGUUCGAGCCCAGCCUGAGGAG
rnacentral:tRNA from 1 species